rnacentral:rRNA from 1 species
CGUAGGGUGCGAGCGUUAAUCGGAAUUACUGGGCGUAAAGCGUGCGCAGGCGGUUUUGUAAGCCAGAUGUGAAAUCCCCGGGCUCAACCUGGGAAUGGCAUUUGGGACUGCAAGGCUGGAGUGUGGCAGAGGAGACUGGAAUUCCUGGUGUAGCAGUGAAAUGCGUAGAUAUCAGGAGGAAUACCGAUGGCGAAGGCAGGUCUCUGGGCUAACACUGACGCUCAUGCACGAAAGCGUGGGGAGCAAACAGGAUUAGAUACCCUGGUAGUCCACGCCCUAAACGAUGUCGACUGGUUGUUGGGGGUUUGACACUCUCAGUAACGAAGCUAACGCGUGAAGUCGACCGCCUGGGGAUACGGCCGCAAGGUUA